CUCAGUUGGUAUAUAUAAGAUGUGGAGCAAGUCAUCGUUUUAAUUCAAAGAAAUCAGCGAAAGAUGAAUUCGUGCAAAAGUGGAAUGCUCCUUGUUCUCGUGGUUAUAGUAACAUGCUUUCUAGAAGGGAACGAAGGGUCCAGCACGACCACCACUACUUCUACAACAACGACGUCGACUACAGCAAUACCUGGAGGCCCAACCAGCAGAACCCCACCGCCUACUAUUACCACAAGCCUACACCAUAACAAUCCCACUUCAAAUACUAAUAGUACCGGUCAGGGAGGAGCAGGUAGCAGACUGAUGUUUUCCAAGUCGUCCCUCAUCUUCAUGUCUGUGAUCGGAGUCUUUGUGAUGAAAUUUGUAUGAGGACUAU